rnacentral:rRNA from 1 species
AGUGAACGCUGGCGGUAGGCCUAACACAUGCAAGUCGAACGGCAGCACAGUAAGAGCUUGCUCUUACGGGUGGCGAGUGGCGGACGGGUGAGGAAUACAUCGGAAUCUACUUUUUCGUGGGGGAUAACGUAGGGAAACUUACGCUAAUACCGCAUACGACCUACGGUUGAAAGCAGGGGAUCUUCGGACCUUGCGCGAUUGAUUGAGCCGAUUUCGGAUUAGCUAGUUGGCGGGGUAAAGGCCCACCAAGGCGACGAUCCGUAGCUGGUCUGAGAGGAUGAUCAGCCACACUGGAACUGAGACACGGUCCAGACUCCUACGGGAGGCAGCAGUGGGGAAUAUUGGACAAUGGGCGCAAGCCUGAUCCAGCCAUACCGCGUGGGUGAAGAAGGCCUUCGGGUUGUAAAGCCCUUUUGUUGGGAAAGAAAAGCAGCAGGUUAAUACCCCGCUGUUCUGACGGUACCCAAAGAAUAAGCACCGGCUAACUUCGUG